GCUCCAGACUCCUACGGGAGUCAGCAGUGGGGAAUAUUGGGCGAUGGGCGCAAGCCUGACCCAGCAACGCCGCGUGAAGGAAGAAGGCUUUCGGGUUGUAAACUUCUUUUCUUGGGGACGAAGAAAGUGACGGUACCCAAGGAAUAAGCCACGGCUAACUACGUGCCAGCAGCCGCGGUAAUACGUAGGUGGCGAGCGUUAUCCGGAUUUACUGGGUGUAAAGGGCGUGUAGGCGGGAGUGCAAGUCAGAUGUGAAAACUAUGGGCUCAACCCAUAGCCUGCAUUUGAAACUGUACUUCUUGAGUGCUGGAGAGGCAAUCGGAAUUCCGUGUGUAGCGGUGAAAUGCGUAGAUAUACGGAGGAACACCAGUGGCGAAGGCGGAUUGCUGGACAGUAACUGACGCUGAGGCGCGAAAGCGUGGGGAGCAAACAGGAUUAGAUACCCUAGUA
rnacentral:rRNA from 1 species